UACGGAGGGGGCUAGCGUUGUUCGGAAUUACUGGGCGUAAAGCGCACGUAGGCGGCUUUGCAAGUUAGAGGUGAAAGCCCGGGGCUCAACUCCGGAAUUGCCUUUAAAACUGCAUCGCUAGAAUUGUGGAGAGGUAAGUGGAAUUCUGAGUGUAGAGGUGAAAUUCGUAGAUAUUCGGAAGAACACCAGUGGCGAAGGCGGGUCUCUGGGCCGAUAUUGACGCUGAGGAGCGAAAGCGUGGGGAGCGAACAGG
rnacentral:rRNA from 1 species